CGGGGCGUAGCGCAGCCUGGUUGAGCGCGCUUGAUUUGGGAUCAAGAGGUCGGCGGUUCAAAUCCGCCCGCCCCGACCA
rnacentral:tRNA from 1 species